rnacentral:tRNA from 1 species
AAUUAGAGUAGUUUAUAAAAAAUGUUAGUUUGUGGAAUUAAAGAAGUAAAUAUAUUUAUCUCUAAUUA